rnacentral:rRNA from 1 species
AACAGGAUUAGAUACCCUGGUAGUCCACGCCGUAAACGAUGUCGACUUGGAGGUUGUUCCCUUGAGGAGUGGCUUCCGGAGCUAACGCGUUAAGUCGACCGCCUGGGGAGUACGGCCGCAAGGUUAAAACUCAAAUGAAUUGACGGGGGCCCGCACAAGCGGUGGAGCAUGUGGUUUAAUUCGAUGCAACGCGAAGAACCUUACCUACUCUUGACAUCCACGGAAUUUGGCAGAGAUGCCUUAGUGCCUUCGGGAACCGUGAGACAGGUGCUGCAUGGCUGUCGUCAGCUCGUGUUGUGAAAUGUUGGGUUAAGUCCCGUAACGAGCGCAACCCUUAUCCUUUGUUGCCAGCGAUUCGGUCGGGAACUCAAAGGAGACUGCCGGUGAUAAACCGGAGGAAGGUGGGGAUGACGUCAAGUCAUCAUGGCCCUUACGAGUAGGGCUACACACGUGCUACAAUGGCGCAUACAAAGAGAAGCGACCUCGCGAGAGCAAGCGGACCUCACAAAGUGCGUCGUAGUCCGGAUCGGAGUCUGCAACUCGACUCCGUGAAGUCGGAAUCGCUAGUAAUCGUGGAUCAGAAUGCCACGGUGAAUACGUUCCCGGGCCUUGUACACACCGCCCGUCACACCAUGGGAGUGGGUUGCAAAAGAAGUAGGUAGCUUAACCUUCGGGAGGGCGCUUACCACUUUGUGAUUCAUGACUGGGGUGAAGUCGUAACAAGGUAACC